GACGAACGCUGGCGGCGUGCCUAACACAUGCAAGUGGAGCGACGAACCAGACUUCGGUCUGGGGCCAAGCCGCGAACGGGUGAGUAACACGUGGGUAACCUGCCCCGAUGAUCGGGACAACCCGGGGAAACCCGGGCUAAUACCGAAUGUGGUCGCGGUCCGUGAGGACCGUGACGAAAGGAAGCUUCGGCCUCCGCAUCGGGAUGGGCCCGCGGCCCAUUAGCUUGUUGGUGGGGUAAUGGCCUACCAAGGCAUCGAUGGGUAGCUGGUCUGAGAGGACGAUCAGCCACGCUGGGACUGGGACACGGCCCAGACUCCUACGGGAGGCAGCAGUGGGGAAUCUUGCGCAAUGCGCGAAAGCGUGACGCAGCAACGCCGCGUGGGGGAAGAAGGCUCUCGGGUCGUAAACCCCUUUCAGUUGGGACGAAGCUUCGCCGGUGAAUAGCCGGCCGGAGUGACGGUACCUUCACAAGAAGCCCCGGCUAACUACGUGCCAGCCGCCGCAGUAAAAC
rnacentral:rRNA from 1 species